GACGAACGCUGGCGGCGUGCUUAACACAUGCAAGUCGAACGGAAAGGCCCUGCUUUUGUGGGGUGCUCGAGUGGCGAACGGGUGAGUAACACGUGAGUAACCUGCCCUUGACUUUGGGAUAACUUCAGGAAACUGGGGCUAAUACCGGAUAGGAGCUCCUGCUGCAUGGUGGGGGUUGGAAAGUUUCGGCGGUUGGGGAUGGACUCGCGGCUUAUCAGCUUGUUGGUGGGGUAGUGGCUUACCAAGGCUUUGAAGGGUAGCCGGCCUGAGAGGGUGACCGGCCACAUUGGGACUGAGAUACGGCCCAGACGCCUACGGGAGGCAGCAGUGGGAAAUAUUGCACAAUGGGCGGAAGCCUGAUGCAGCAACGCCGCGUGCGGGAUGACGGCUUUCGGGUUGUAAACCGCUUUCGCCUGUGACGAAGCGUGAGUGACGGUAAUGGGUAAAGAAGCACCGGCUAACUACGUG
rnacentral:rRNA from 1 species